AGAGUUUGAUCCUGGCUCAGGACGAACGCUGGAGGUAUGCCUCAUACAUGCAAGUCGAACGAGAUUUGAUAGAGCUUGCUCUAUCGAUGAGAGUGGCGCACGGGUGAGUAACGCGUGGGUAACCUGCCUCGAAGUUUGGGAUAACAUUGGGAAACCAAUGCUAAUACCGACUAAUUUUUAUUACUGUAUGGUGAUUUAAUAAAAGAUGCCCUCUUCUAUGGUAUCGCUUCGAGAGGGGCCUGCGUCCUAUUAGCUAGUUGGUGGGGUAACAGCCUACCAAGGCGAAGAUGGGUAGCCGGCUUGAGAGAGUGAUCGGCCACACUGGAACUGAGACACGGUCCAGACUCCUACGGGAGGCAGCAGUAGGGAAUAUUCCGCAAUGGGCGAAAGCCUGACGGAGCAAUACCUCGUGAGUGAUGAAGGCUUUAGGGUCGUAAAGCUCAGUCAGCAGGGAAGAAGGGUUAUGGUUCGAAUAGGGCUAUAGCUUUGACGGUACCUGCAGAGGAAGCCACGGCUAAUUACGUGCCAGCAGCCGCGGUAAUACGUAAGUGGCAAGCGUUGUCCGGAUUUACUGGGCGUAAAGAACGCGUAGGCGGUUUUCUAAGUUGGGGGUGAAAUCCUGAGGCCCAACCUCAGGCCUGCCUCCAAAACUGGAGAACUAGAGUUUCGGAGAGGAAGAUGGUAUUCCAUGUGUAGCGGUGAAAUGCGUAGAUAUAUGGGAGAACACCAAUGGCGAAAGCAGUCUUCUGGACGAAUACUGACGCUGAGGCGUGAAAGCGUGGGUAGCGAACAGGAUUAGAUACCCUGGUAGUCCACGCC
rnacentral:rRNA from 1 species